UGAAAUGUUUACAUUUGACGAUCUUUUAUCUCUACGUGGAGAAGGUAAUAAUUGAGAUUUCAAAGUUUCUAUCUUAUUUAUUAGCAACACUUAUUUUUUAUUUGAAUUAGUGGUCUACGAGGUUUGUUCAAACAUUUUUGCUAAUUUUGUCUUAAGAAAGUGUUUAUUUAAUCAAGAAUAUCUAUUUUGUCCACUUCAAGGUAAUCACGUUAGAUAUAAUGCAAUAAUCCCAGUGUGUUUUUUUAAAUCAUCGAAGCAUUUAAGAAAGUAACUUUUUGUGAUCUUGUUCAGUAUCUCCUUCGAUGCAGUUUUUAUCUCCUCAAUCGUAGCAAAGCGUCGUCCCUUCAUGGUCCUCUACAAUUUUGGGAACAAAAAAAAGUCACAAGGGCCAGAUCUGGGGAAUAUGGCGGCUGCGGCACUAUUAAUGUGUUGUUUUUGAGCAAAUACGAGGUAUCGCGAAUUUUGAAUUUUCGCGGCGCAUUGUAUCUAGGGGUGUUUACUUUAAAGGGGACAAAAUAAAUAUUCAUGAAUAAGUAAUUACUGUCCUAAGAAAUCCAAAAUUCGCGAUACUUUUUGAACAAACAUGUUUCUUACAAUAUUUUCAUAUGGUUCAUGGAAUACAAGGUUACGACAAGUUGGUUCAAAUUGGUUGGUUGCUCUAGCCACUUAAAUAUGUUUGUGAUAUUUUAUCCUUGAAAUAUCCUGAAGUAAAACCCACUUUGCUUAUACUAAACAAAUUUUUAAUUUGAAAUAAAACUGUAUACACAUAGCAACUCUAAUUGCCUACUGACAUUUCAACGAAUGAUAUAUUUAAAUAAGUCAAAUCCGUUAAAAAAAGUGGUAAAUUCACAGCAGGCGCGCAUUGUUUGAAAAAAACGCUUUAUACACAUUUUUUAAAUAAUAUCAAGUAUUUUUCAAAAGUGUUAGAAGUAUAAAUUGUGCAAACAUCGCGUUUAAAAAUCUGAAACGACGACAGUGGGUAAUCGUACACAAAAAUAUGGACAAAAUUCAUAUUUACCAAACUUAAGGCGGACUGUAAUAAUAUAGUGUAACAAUUAGGGUAUUCACAAGGUGUCAUAUUGUGUCAUAUCGUCAUAUUGUCUUAGUUUUUUAAGACUGUCAUAACACUGUUGUUGUUUCCCAUACAAAAUUUAAAUGCGGCAAAUACAACACGGUGAGGCAUGUAUUUUGAGUGUGCUAUUUUAUCAGCUGUAUCUGUUUAUUUUUUUUAUUGUGACGUUUAAGUGUCUAAAAUUAAUAAAUUAAAUAAAUUUCAUCAAUUUCUAUAAUAAUAUGAAAGGAAGCCGCGAUAUUCAGUUUCUAAUGAAAUUUUUGUAUUCUAAAGACAUAAGACAAAGCUUGUGAAUUGCCUAAAUAUGGCUAGAAAGAUAUUCAUGAUAUGGUAUAUGUAUCAGUAUGUCACAGACAUAUGUAAUAACUUAUCGCCUAAAUCAAGCCAUUCGUGAAAAAAUUAGAAGAAAAUGCGGACAAUCAUGACCAACCGGAGCUUAAAUAUCGUUUACGUUCAUAUAUUUUGGGGCAUAACGAAACACCUCUAACCGAUUUUAGCAAUGUUGAAGCUGAUGAUACACCCGAUUUAGAAGGAACACGAUGACCUCUUUCUGGUAUACUAUUGCGAAGAUUCCAAGUGGUAGUCCGUGCGGAGCAUAGUACUAACAACGAAUUAUUGUAUCUCGAAUCCGACGGUCUAGAGCAUUUGGUGGGAUGCAUUUGCAAAAAAUUAAAACCUGAAGUGGAUGAAUUUGAGAAUGAUCAGAAGUAUACAUGGGUUAAUCACGUAAGCGAAGGCUAAACAAACUGAAAGAAUAAUGGAGAUGAUGAGCCAAUGUGAAAAAAUAUUUGAAAAUAUACAUGGUCAAGUUAUUUAAAUAUAAACAAUUAUAUCCAAAAACAAUUGGAAGAAGCUAA